AUUGAACGCUGGCGGCAUGCCUUACACAUGCGAGUCGAACGGCAGCACGGGUGCUUGCACCUGGUGGCGAGUGGCGAACGGGUGAGUAAUACAUCGGAACAUGUCCUGUAGUGGGGAUAGCCCGGCGAAAGCCGGAUUAAUACCGCAUACGAUCUACGGAUGAAAGCGGGGGACCUUCGGGCCUCGCGCUAUAGGGUUGGCCGAUGGCUGAUUAGCUAGUUGGUGGGGUAAAGGCCUACCAAGGCGACGAUCAGUAGCUGGUCUGAGAGGACGACCAGCCACACUGGGACUGAGACACGGCCCAGACUCCUACGGGAGGCAGCAGUGGGGAAUUUUGGACAAUGGGCGAAAGCCUGAUCCAGCAAUGCCGCGUGUGUGAAGAAGGCCUUCGGGUUGUAAAGCACUUUUGUCCGGAAAGAAAUCCUUGGCCCUAAUACGGUCGGGGGAUGACGGUACCGGAAGAAUAAGCACCGGCUAACUACGUG
rnacentral:rRNA from 1 species